GCCUUAUCAAGAGUGGUGGAGGGAAUGGGCCCUGUGAAACCCGGCAACCUAUGGUCUUUGACUGUGAGGUGCUAAAUCCCACAGAAUAGUAUUCUGAAAGAUGAGGU
rnacentral:ncRNA from 2 species